rnacentral:rRNA from 1 species
CCUACGGGAGGCAGCAGUGGGGGAUAUUGGACAAUGGGGGGAACCCUGAUGCAGCGACGCCGCGUGGGUGAAGAAGUGCUUCGGUGUGUAAAGCUCUGUCAGCAGGGAAGAAAAAGAUGGCAGUACAAGACUAAGCCGCGGCUAACUACGUGCCAGCAGCCGCGGUAAUACGUAGGGGGCAAGCGUUAUCCGGAGUUACUGGGUGUAAAGGGAGCGGAGACGGCGAUGCAAGCCAGAAGUGAAAGCCGGGGGCCCAACCCCGGGACUGCUCUUGAAACUGCAUGGCUGGAGUGCAGGAGAGGCAGGCGGAAUUCCUGGUGUAGCGGUGAAAUGCGUAGAUAUCAGGAGGAACACCAGUGGCGAAGGCGGCCUACUGGACUGUAACUGACGUUGAGGCCCGAAAGCGUGGGGAGCAAACAGGAUUAGAUACCCGUGUAGUC